rnacentral:lncRNA from 1 species
CUAGCUGUAAGCAAGCGUAUAUUGCUAUUUAAUGGGUAUGAUAGAGAACAAAAUCAGGAGACACAGAGAACAGGUGCAUAUGGAGAGCAUUAACAGGUGAGGAAAGAGGGAAAAAGAAAAGGAAAGAAUAGUCAGUUCACUAAAAGGGUGCAAGACAGCAUGGGCCACAUGGCAAAUUAAAGUGAGCCCCGCUCAGGAAUAGCAAGAGAAGAGAAAGAUGACUAGUUCCAAAAAAAAAACAAAGGGAAUGAGGAGCAACAGUAUGGGGCCUGGCUGUGAUAUGAGAUAACCACUAAAUAGGCCCUAUAGCCCAGAGCAACACCGACAUUGAAAGCCACCCUUUCUGAG